CCCAGCCCAUAUAUUUCCCUCCUGCCAACCCAAGCAAAGCCCCUCGCUUCUGUGAAUCCUCGAUUUCAAACUUCGCAAAUUUUGAAAAUCCCUUUCGAAUACAAAUACCCAUAAUCAAACCCAACUCAAGAACUUCUUGAUUCUCUUUCAAAUUCCAUCUCUUUGGAUUUGGGUUCGCAUUCAAUUGUAUGCGCAAUGGAAUGGAACCCGGAAACCCUACAGCGCCUCUCUCAGUGUUUUCUCCAUACUCUUUCUCCAUCCCCUGAGCCGCGCCGCAAUGCUGAAAAGUCCCUUCGCGAAGCCGCCGACGGCCCUAACUACGCGCUUGCUGUUCUCCGCCUUGUCGCCGAACCCUCUGUGGACGAGCAGAUCCGUCAAGCGGCCGCCGUUAACUUCAAGAACCAUCUACGGGUCCGAUGGUCCCCCGGUGCGCCGGACGACUCCAAUGACCCCCCUCCGCCUCCCAUCCCCGACUCCGAAAAGGACCAAAUCAAAGCCCUAAUUGUCCCGCUCAUGCUUUCCUCUACUACCCGAAUCCAGAGUCAGCUAAGCGAGGCUUUGGCUUUGAUCAGCAAACACGACUUCCCAAAAUCCUGGCCGUCCUUGCUCCCGGAGCUCAUCCUUAGUCUUCAGAAGGYGUCUCAGGCUUCCGAUUAUGCAUCUGUUAACGGUAUUCUUGGCACUGCAAACUCUAUAUUUAAGAAGUUUAGGUAUCAAUAUAAAACCAAUGAUCUUUUGCUUGACUUGAAAUACUGCCUGGACAAUUUUGCGGCACCCUUGAUGGAAAUUUUUCUCAAAACCGCUGCUUUAAUUGAUUCCGCUGUGGGCUCGGGAGCGCAGGCGGCGGCCCUGCGUCCCCUGUUUGAGUCCCAGAGGCUAUGUUGUAGGAUAUUUUAUUCGUUGAAUUUUCAAGAGCUUCCCGAGUUCUUUGAGGAUCAUAUGAAAGAGUGGAUGAGUGAAUUCCGGAAAUAUCUUACUAUGAGUUAUCCUCAACUCGAAAAUAGUGGCGUGGAUGGGCUUGCUUUAGUCGAUGAACUUCGUGCUGCAGUUUGUGAGAAUAUUAAUCUUUACAUGGAAAAGAAUGAAGAGGAGUUUCAGGGGUACUUGAAUGAUUUUGCUUUAGCCGUAUGGGGCUUACUAAAAAAUGUGUCUCAGUCAUCAAGCCGAGACCACCUGGCUGUUACAGCAAUGAAAUUUUUGACUACAGUUAGCACCAGUGUACACCACACCUUAUUUGCAGGAGAUGGUGUGAUACCUGAGAUUUGUCAGAGUAUAGUAAUUCCCAAUGUGAGGCUGAGGGAUGAAGAUGAGGAACUCUUUGAAAUGAAUUAUGUUGAAUUCAUUAGGAGGGACAUGGAAGGUAACGAUCUGGAAACUAGGAGGAGGAUAGCUUGCGAACUUCUUAAAGGCAUUGCGACCAAUUACAAAAAGCAGGUGACAGACAUGGUAUCCUCUCAGAUACAAAACUUGCUAAGUUCAUUUGGGAUGAAUCCUGCUGUGAACUGGAAAGAUAAAGAUUGUGCGAUAUAUUUGGUUGUCUCACUUGCCACUAAGAAGGCUGGGGGCUCUUUCGUUUCAACCGAUCUUGUAGAUGUUCAGAGCUUUUUUGCAUCAGUAAUCAUUCCAGAGUUGCAAAGUUUGGAUGUUAAUGGGCUACCAAUGCUUAAGGCAGGUGCGCUCAAGUUCUUUGCUGUGUUCCGUAAUCAGAUAUCAAAACCUGUUGCAUUACAAAUGUUUCCUCAUUUGGUUCGGUUUCUUGGUUCUGAGUCAAAUGUGGUUCAUUCUUAUGCUGCAAUUUGUAUUGAAAAAUUGUUGCUGGUCAAGGAGGAUUCAGGUGUGGCUAGGUAUAACUCUAUGGACAUUGCUCCAGUUUUUCCUGAGAUGAUGACCAAGCUCUUUAAUUCCUUCAAAUUUCCUGAAUCCGAGGAGAACCAAUACAUUAUGAAGUGUAUAAUGAGAGUUCUUGGAGUUGCUGACAUAUCUCGUGAAGUUGCAGGACCAUGCAUUGUUGGGUUGACUAAUAUUUUAAAUGAAGUGUGCAAAAACCCAAAAAAUCCUGUUUUCAACCACUAUCUGUUUGAAUCGGUUGCUAUUCUCAUUAGACGGGCUUGUGAAAAGGAUCCUUCUUUAACAUCAGCUUUUGAGGCAAGCCUUUUUCCCAGCCUUCAAAUGAUACUGGCCAAUGAUGUUACAGAGUUCUUCCCUUAUGCUUUCCAGCUGUUGGCACAGCUUGUUGAAUUGAAUAAUCCUCCUAUUCCAUCAAGCUACAUGCAGAUUUUUGAGAUUCUAUUGUCACCUGAAUCUUGGAAAAGAACCUCUAAUGUACCAGCACUCGUACGGUUACUUCAGGCUUUCCUUCAAAAGGCACCUCAUGAGCUUAAUCAAGGUGGGCGUCUGAGCCAGGUUCUUGGAAUAUUUAGUAAUCUAGUCUCAUUCUCAAGCACUGCAGAACAAGGCUUUUAUGUACUCAACACUGUUAUUGAAUCUCUCGAAUAUAGUGUGAUUGAACAGUACAUUGGUCAAAUUUGGGCUGUUCUUUUCGGUCAGCUUCAAAGUAGACGGACGGUCAAGUUCAUCAAGUCGCUUUUGAUAUUUAUGUCCCUCUUUCUUGUUAAAAAUGGUCAUCAAAAUCUAUUGGAUACCAUCAACAGUGUUCAGAAUGGCAUAUUUAUCCAAAUCUUGAGGCAGUUUUGGAUACCUAAUCUUAAACUAAUCACUGGGGCCAUUGAGCUUAAGUUAACUGCAGUUGCUUCAACCAGACUUAUCUGUGAGUGUCCAGCUCUUUUGGAUGCUGCAUUUAUUGAAGACUGGGGGAAAAUGCUUGACAGCAUUGUUACCCUUCUUUCUCGACCAGAACAGGAAAGGGUUGACGACGAGCCAGAGAUGCCAGAUAUUGCUGAAAAUGCAGGGUACAGUGCAAGUUUUGUUCGUCUAUACAAUGCAGGGAAGAAGGAGGAUGAUCCUCUGAAAGAUAUUAAGGAUCCCAAGCAAUUUCUAGUAGCAUCUUUGUCAAAGCUUUCUGCUCUUUCUCCUGGGAGGUAUCCUCAAGUCAUCAGUCAGUAUCUUGACCCUACAAAUCAAUCUGCAUUGCUUCAGUUUUGCAGAUCUUAUAAUUGCCCUAUAGCUUGAGUUUUUCUGCUGCAUUGAAGCAGGUUUUUGUGGACAAGUUGAUCUUUAAUCUUAUUUUUCUCUUGGUGUUAUCUCAUUUGGUGGCCUAUUCAACUUACAUAUCAUCAGUUUGCUUCUUCAACUCUCAUCAUGGUGUGGAAGACUCUGCUAAUUCAAGUUGGCCGGUGAGGCUAUCAAACAUGGUUUACCAAGUUUUGGGAAUGAGAGAGAUAUCAGAGUAGAGGAAGUAGGAAGAUUUUGGAAGCCGUUACAACUUACAAGUGAAUAAUCCUUCCCAUUCCAAGGGAAAACAGCUAGAGGUAAGAUUUAAAAGAGUACCCGCUAGCAAACCGUGCCACCACCCGUGUUACAAAUGAGGUAUACUCCAAUCUCUCAAAGAACCAAGAUGAUCAAUGCAGUUUCGGAAUUCACAUGAAUCCAAUUCAAAAACAAAGAAUGAGAAGUUCUUUGAUUUGGUAUGAUGUGGCCUACUCCAUGAUGUUGUAAUAGUAGUAUUAGGACUCGAGAUUUAUGGUUUACAUCUUUUCCUUUUGUCCUAUAUUCAUUUGCUCUUAUUUGACGUUUGUCCUUGUAUUUUAAAUUUCACCAUCUAGGAACCGAGGUUAUGAGAGUAAGCGAAGUUGGCUAUCCAUUUUUCCAAA